GUUGUUUUUGAUCAAAAUUACACAUGCAAGCAUCAGCACGCCAGUGAGAAUGCCCUUAUAAAGCACCAAGGAGCAGGUAUCAGGCACAACCUUUUAGCCCAAAACACCUUGCUAUGCCACACCCACACGGGCACCCAGCAGUGAUAAAUAUUAAGCAAUGAGUGAAAGCCAACUUAAGCUCGACUUAGUUAUGAUCUCCAGAGCCGGUAAACCUCGUGCCAGCCACCGCGGUUACACGAAGGGCUCAAAACAGUAGACCCCGGCGUAAAUUGUGGCUAGAGUAACUACUUUGAGAAGUAAACAAAAUCCCAACCGUAAAACCUGGGCUAAAAGAAGCCUAUCUUCCCAACUAUAAAGUAACUUGAACCCACGAAGACUAAGAAACAAACUAGGAUUAGAUACCCUACUAUGCUUAGUUGUUAACACGACACUAAAAAACACCAGUGUCCGCCAGAGAAUUACGCGCGAAAAGCCUAAAACUCAAAGGACUUGGCGGUAUUCCGUAUUCGCCUUAGAGGAGCCUGUCCUAUAAUCGAUAACCCACGUUUUACCUUACCAUCUUUUGCCCAAACAGCCUAUAUACCGCCGUCGCAAACUUACCCCAUGAGGGUACAACAGUAAGUAAAAAAGUAACACACUAACACGUCAGGUCAAGGUGUAGCUAAUAAGAUGGAAGAGAUGGGCUACAUUUUCUAAAACAGAACAUACGGCAAAGGACAUUGAAAUAUGUUCUCAAAGGUGGGUUUAAUAGUAAGAUAGAAAAGAAAGCCUAUCUAAAACU
rnacentral:rRNA from 1 species